AUAAGCAUGUAUAUGUAUAUGUAUAUUUGAGAAGUUUUCUUUCUCUAAUCAGUGUUCUUUCGGCGCUAUCGGAUAAACGAUCUCUUUACUAAAUUAUGCGUCAAGCAGUCAUAUUUUCGAUUCUUGUGGCCAUUGCCGUGUGCAUUUUUCAUGCAUUUGUAAACGCAGAGAGUUGUACACUCGCCUCAGAUUGCAAAUCCACGGCAUGCAAUACUGGGUACCAUGUAGUAUGCGAACACAAAGAGACCGGAGUUGUUCAAGAUGCCGGCCUAUGUACCUGCGCAGUGGACAAUUUAAAUUGCACAUCUAAAGAUGAUUGUCUGGCCUUGAACCUACCCAGCUACACGUGUAUCAGUGAUGAUCACAAACACUGCUAUGAUAACAAGUGCAUCUGCACCUGGUGGAGAACAUGAAACGUCUACUUAAAUACCGAUGCAACUUUAUGUUUUGCAUAUCUCGGCUUCUAACUUAAUAAAGCAUCACUUUAUUGUUU
rnacentral:misc_RNA from 1 species